rnacentral:rRNA from 1 species
UACGUAGGUGGCAAGCGUUGUCCGGAAUUAUUGGGCGUAAAGCGCGCGCAGGCGGUUAUGUAAGUCUGAUGAUAAAGCCCGGGGCUCAACCUCGGUUAGCAUUGGAAACUGUGUAACUUUAGAGCAGAAGAGGAAAGUGGUAUUCCACGUGUAGCGGGGAAAUGCGUAUAUAUGUGGAGGAACACCAGUGGAGAAGGCGUCUUUCUGGUCUGUAACUGACGCUGAGGCGCGAAAGCGUGGGGAGCAAACAGG